GUUAGAAAUUGUCUGCCAGGCUUCUGGAGGCACCUGGGCCGUGUGGGUUCACAGUGGUCAUUCAGGGAAUGGAUGGACAUGCUCCUGCAGUGCUCGGCCAAGCUCAGCCCUUGUUCAGCACACCAGCCCUGUGAGUCACACUGUCCCUGGAGGGACUGAGGAAUGUCCAGGGGUUGGUAGUGGCACAAAGGAUGGAGCCACUGAAACGCGGUGGGUGGACACAGGAAGAGGACGGCCGCACAGCGAGGCCACGCCUGGCCUGGCUCGGAGGAUGCGAGGAGGAUUCUCCAGCAGGCAGGCAUGGUCAGAGGGGCCACUGGGUAGCCAGAUAGAGUCCCUGUGCCGACCCCAUAGUCCACGGGGAGGAGCAGAGAGGCGGGUGAGGCCUGGGGAGAUGACAUCACAUGGCUGGGGCUACUCAGUGGUGAAGGAAGAGACAAAGCGGGACACUGCUCUGGCUACUGGGGGGAGCAGUGGUCCUUCCCACCUCUUGUGCCAGGUACAGCACUGGGGCCUGGGACCAGGACGAGCCUCAGAACACGGCUGGUGAGCACACCCACCUCCACCUGCACCCAUCCCCGCUCCCCACACACACCACACACACACUCAUCACACACACACUCAUCACACACACACCACACACACUCAUCACACACAUGCUCAUCACACACACCACACACACUCAUCACACACAUGCUCAUCACACACUCAUCACACACACACCACACACACUCAUCACACACAUGCUCAUCACACACACCACACACACUCAUCACACACAUGCUCAUCACACACACCACACACACUCAUCACACACGCUCAUCACACACACUCAUCACACACACCACACACUCAUCACACACGCUCAUCAUACACACUCAUCAC
rnacentral:lncRNA from 1 species